GAUGAACGCUAGCGGCAGGCUUAAUACAUGCAAGUCAAGGGGGUAGCAAUACAACCGGCGCACGGGUGAGUAACGCGUACACAACAUACCAUAUACUGGAGUAUAGCUUUGGGAAACUGAAGGUAAUCCUCCAUAACAUUGCGAGAGGGCAUCUGAUUGCAAUUAAAGUUUCGGCGGUAUAUGAUUGGUGUGCGUUUGAUUAGCUAGUUGGUAGGGUAACGGCCUACCAAGGCGACGAUCAAUAGCUGGCGUGAGAGCGCGACCAGCCACACUGGAACUGAGACACGGUCCAGACUCCUACGGGAGGCAGCAGUAGGGAAUAUUGGACAAAUGGAGGAAACUCUGAUCCAGCCAUGCCGCGUGAUAGAUGAAGGCCCUCUGGGUUGUAAAUAUCUUUUAUCUGGGAAGAAACACUCCUAUUCUUAGGAACUUGACGGUACCAGAGGAAUAAGCACCGGCUAACUCCGUGCCAGCAGCCGCGGUAAAGUA
rnacentral:rRNA from 1 species